AACGAACGCUGGCGGCAUGCCUAACACAUGCAAGUCGAACGGUAGAGGGGGCAACCCCUCGAGAGUGGCGAACGGGUGAGUAAAGCAUCGGAACGUGCCCAGUAGUGGGGGAUAGCCCGGCGAAAGCCGGAUUAAUACCGCAUGAGACCUACGGGUGAAAGGGGGGGAUCGCAAGACCUCUCGCUAUUGGAGCGGCCGAUGUCAGAUUAGGUAGUUGGUGGGGUAAAGGCCUACCAAGCCGACGAUCUGUAGCUGGUCUGAGAGGACGACCAGCCACACUGGGACUGAGACACGGCCCAGACUCCUACGGGAGGCAGCAGUGGGGAAUUUUGGACAAUGGGCGCAAGCCUGAUCCAGCCAUGCCGCGUGCGGGAAGAAGGCCUUCGGGUUGUAAACCGCUUUUGUCAGGGAAGAAAUCCUUUGAGCUAAUACCUCGGGGGGAUGACGGUACCUGAAGAAUAAGCACCGGCUAACUACGUGCCAGCCGCCGCGGUAACAC
rnacentral:rRNA from 1 species